GUAAGAUGGAAUCCAGUAGUGUAUUUGAUUUCGUUGUUCGCGUAAAAGAAGAACCCGCUGAUGUCUUGCUGACUGAAAAUAUUGAUUAUAACACAAUCAGCAAGUCUUCCGAUACUGAAAAUAAUCAAAUACCUCAAAAAUAUGACGAAUAUCGUGAAAACGAACUUGACCACAUUCAAAUUGAUUUUGAAUGUAAACAAAUGAAGCUCCAUGUGGAUUUAUCAUUAGUUAAGAAAAUUGAGGAUUAUUCUUCAAAUCAUUUGCAGAAUGUAAAUUAUAGCGAUGAUUGUAAAAAUAAAAACACAAUUAAAGUAGAAACUUCCGGGGUAGUGAAAGAAGAAUUUGUUGGUAACGCGACGGAAGAAUUGAAUUUGAAAGUUGUCGACUGUGAGCUUGUUGAAAAAAAUAAAAGAAGAAUCGCAAAUAAGUGAAGCAACAAACAUAGAAUCAAAACAUGUAUCGGUAGAGCGAAUAACGGAAGAAUUGAACCAAACCACUCAUGCAAAAUAUGCGAAAAGAAUUUCUCAACUAAGAGUAAUAUAAAUAGUCAUGUCAAAUCAGUACAUCAUUGCAUUACCUACUCGUGUGAUGAAUGCGGCAAGACAUUCAAAAGAAAGGACCAUCUUCAAAAUCAUAUCGAUAUAGUGCAUAAUGGUGUCACUCACACAUGUAAAAUAUGCGAAAAAAAUUUCUCAUCUAAGAGCAAUUUAAAUUAUCAUGUCAAAUCAGUACAUCAUGGCAUUACCUACUCGUGUGCUGAUUGCGGUAAAAAAUAUAGAAGAAAGGUUCAUCUUAAAGUCCACAUGAAUGCGAAGCAUAAUGGUAUUAGCUAUGCAUGUAAUUUCUGUGAAGAAAAAUACAAAUAUCCAUCUCAAUUUUAUAAACAUGUUAAAUCAUCGCAUAAUAAUAUCAUCCAUGCAUGCGAUAUAUGCGGAAAAACGUUUGGAAAAAGAAGAAACCUCAAAGCUCACAUCGAUAUGACG